AGACUCAAAAAUUUAACUGAACUCUUUCCAGCCAGUCAGUAUUAGGGUUUUAAACACUAAACUGAACUUUCCCUUUAGUCAGCAUUAGGGUUUUAAACCCUAAACUGAACUCUUUCCUUCAGUCAGCAUUAGGGUUUUAAACCCUAAACUGAACUUUUCCAUUCAGUCAGCAUUAGGGUUUUAAACCCAAAACUGAACUCUUUCCUUUAGUCAGCAUUAGGGUUUUAGACCCUAAACUGAACUUUUUCCCAUUCAGUCAGUAUUAGGGUUUUAAACCCUAAACUGAACUUUUUCUAUUCAGUCAGCAUUAGGGUUUUAAACCCUAAACUGAACUCUUUCCUUUAGUCAGCAUUAGGGUUUUAAACCCUAAACUGAUCUCUUUCCUUCAGUUAGCAUUAGGGUUUUAAACCCUAAACUUAACUUUUCCAUUCAGUCAGCAUUAGGGUUUUAAACCCUAAACUGAACUCUUUCCUUUAGUCAGCAUUAAGGUUUUAAACUCUAAACUGAACUUUUUCCAUUCUGUUAGCAUUAGGGUUUUAAACCCUAAACUGAACU
rnacentral:lncRNA from 1 species